rnacentral:rRNA from 1 species
CAAAUUGAGAGUUUGAUCCUGGCUCAGGACGAACGCUGGCGGCGUGCCUAAUACAUGCAAGUCGAGCGAGCUGAAUUCAAAGAUCCCUUCGGGGUGAUUUGUUGGACGCUAGCGGCGGAUGGGUGAGUAACACGUGGGCAAUCUGCCCUAAAGACUGGGAUACCACUUGGAAACAGGUGCUAAUACCGGAUAACAACAUGAAU